CGCCCAGCAACACCCCGAAUGGACACACAAGAACAACUAUGGCAAAAAGAAGAAGAAGAAGGUGGGAUGCCAGAGAAAUGCUUCCACAGCUGAAGCAUCUGAAUUCAGGCCAGAGGACAAGAGGCUGAUCAUGGCUCCACACACACUGGCAGGUGCGAUGAACAUUCCACACCUGCAGACAGGUGUGAUUGGAGCCAGGCCGCAGCACCGUCGUCCUGCAGCUGCCACCAUCCUGGAUUCCAGUGGCUGCCCCUCUACAUCUGUUGUACCAUCCACAGAUGUAUAAGGUUCCCUCUUCUUCCUGGCAAAAUGUCUUCCCUGCUACACCCAAUAAUGCCCAAUAUUGGAGCAGCUCGAAGCAUCUGUUUUUGUUUAACACUGUGUUCAUUAAAAAUUUUUUUUAAAU